rnacentral:rRNA from 1 species
UCGAGGGGCAGCACGGAAGCAAUUCUGGUGGCGACCGGCGAACGGGUGCGUAACGCGUAUGCAACCUACCUUAUACAAAGGGAUAGCCCAUGGAAACGUGGAUUAAUACCUUAUAGUACUAAUAGUCUUCAUGGAUUAUUAGUUAAAACUUCGGUGGUAUAAGAUGGGCAUGCGUCUGAUUAGCUAGAUGGUAGGGUAACGGCCUACCAUGGCAACGAUCAGUAGGGGUUCUGAGAGGAUUAUCCCCCACACUGGUACUGAGACACGGACCAGACUCCUACGGGAGGCAGCAGUGAGGAAUAUUGGUCAAUGGGCGCAAGCCUGAACCAGCCAUCCCGCGUGCAGGAUGACAGCCCUAUGGGUUGUAAACUGCUUUUCUAUGCCAAGAAAGGUCCUUACGUGUAGGGAUUUGACGGUAGCAUAGGAAUAAGCACCGGCUAACUCCGUGCCAGCAGCCGCGGUAAUACGGAGGGUGCAAGCGUUAUCCGGAUUUAUUGGGUUUAAAGGGUGCGCAGGCGGAAAAGUAAGUCAGUGGUGAAAGGUUGCCGCUUAACGGUAAGAUUGCCAUUGAUACUGCUUUUCUUGAGUAUGGUUGAGGUAGACGGAAUGUGUAGUGUAGCGGUGAAAUGCAUAGAUAUUACACAGAACACCGAUUGCGAAGGCAGUCUACUAAGCCAUCACUGACGCUGAGGCACGAAAGCGUGGGUAGCGAACAGGAUUAGAUACCCUGGUAGUCCACGCCGUANACGAUGUUCACUCGCUGUCUGCGANACACAGUAGGCGGCUUAGCGAAAGCAUUAAGUGAACCACCUGGGGAGUACGAUCGCAAGGU